GCUCAAAAUGCCAAACAUUUCUUCUCACAGCCAGGGAACCAGAUACCUGAAGAUAUACCAAAACGGUGAGAAUGUGAAGUUAUCUUAUUAUGGUGUAUAAUGUUUGAAUUCAUUCUGAAUAGAAGUCUCUGACAUGAAAAGAUACUUAAAGAAUGAAACGGUUAAGAAAAUUAGCAGCUUUUGUCUUCUCUUUUUCUUAGCUCGGAUCCUCGGGUCAAAAUGAACCUUUGGUUUCUGAACAAUAUUGUUGUUCGAUUAUGUUCGCAUUUAUAUAUUCAUAUGUACAGUGUUGGGGAAUUUGUCUGAAGAAAGGGCACCAUACUUUCAUUGGAUUAGAAGGAUGUUUUGACUGUUCUAUUCAUAGUGUAAACCUCCCUCAUUUCUGUGAGGAUGGUUCUAAUGGGAUUCAUUUUCGAUAUUUUAUAAACUCCAGGGCAGUAGACCAUUCUAAUAAUGUAGUCUAGCAAUGAUGAAGAUUUUGUUUAGUUUGGAAGGGUAAUGAUGAGUGUUUCCUUUGGAGGGUAAAGGAUGAUUGGGAAUCUUCCAUUGUUGAAUCAAUUCAAAGAUAGCUCUCUAGUCUCUGUUUUCAAGAGGGAGAGGGGAGUCUGAAGUUUGAAGAGAUGGAGAUGUCGCAGGGAAGAGCGAGGAGGGUCGUUCAUUGUAGCCGGUGUAAUCAGUCGCGGGGAAGAGCCGGUGUAAUCAGUUAGAACUACUUGUGCAGCUCCUUUAUGAAACAAGGUUUCUCUGCAAUAAUGAGAAAAGUUUAGAUUCAUCAUAUAGUCUGUGUUCUUUCUUUUUUAGCUUGUAGAGAGUUUUGAAUUAUAGUGAAUAUUGUGAUGGGUUCUUGUAUGGUGUGCCAAAUUGAAGGCUGUGGAGGAAAUUGCAUUUUAGUAGGGAGAAGAGCAUUGGUUAAGUUUACAUAUGCGUGCUGGUGAUACAUAAUGUAAAUGAUGAAGCAUUUUUUUGUGUUGAAAAA